rnacentral:rRNA from 1 species
UGAUCCGUUCUCACUAGUGAUUUCUGUUUGAUCCUGGCGGAGGCUACUGCUAUUGGGAUUCGAUUAAGCCAUGCAAGUUGAAUGAAUUUAGAUUCAUGGCGUACGGCUCAGUAACACGUGGAUAACUUACCCUUAGGACUGGGAUAACUCUGGGAAACUGGGGAUAAUACCGGAUAUUAGGCUAUGUCUGCAAUGGUUUGCCUUUGAAAUGUUUUUUUUCGCCUAAGGAUAGAUCUGCGGCUGAUUAGGUCGUUGGUGGGGUAAUGGCCCACCAAGCCGAUGAUCGGUACGGGUUGUGAGAGCAAGGGCCCGGAGAUGGAACCUGAGACAAGGUUCCAGACCCUACGGGGUGCAGCAGGCGCGAAACCUCCGCAAUGUACGAAAGUGCGACGGGGGGAUCCCAAGUGUUAUGCUUAAAGGUAUGACUUUUCAUUAGUGUAAAAAGCUUUUAGAAUAAGAGCUGGGCAAGACCGGUGCCAGCCGCCGCGGUAACACCGGCAGCUCGAGUGGUAGCUGUUUUUAUUGGGCCUAAAGCGUUCGUAGCCGGUUUAAUAAGUCUUUGGUGAAAGCUUGUAGCUUAAACUAUAGAAAUGCUGGAGAUACUAUUAGACUUUGAGUCGGNAGAGGUAGAGGUACUACCGGGGUAGGGGUGAAANNUCUAUAUCCUGNNGAGACACCUGUGGCGAAGCGUCUACUGGAACGAUCUGGNNCGUGAGUACGAAGCAGGGNCGCGACCCGAUAGAUACCGGGUAGUCUGGCGUAACGAGUGGACUGGGUUGAAUGCUUUANUGUUCGGUGCCAGGGGACUGUAAUCACCCCGGAAUCGUCCAGAUUGACUUAGAUGCGGGGAACAAACCUGAACGGGUUAUGAU